UAUUAGUUCGCAAAAUAUGCGUUAAGGAUUGCAGUGGAAAUACUUUUUUGAGGAACGAAAAAAAGAUUGUAGCGUAAAGCCUGACUUUAG
rfam:Polaribacter sp. KT 15 genome assembly, chromosome: I